UGGGCAAAUGGCUGAGUGGUUAAGCGCGCCGCUUUUAAUCAUGCGAGGUCUCGGGUUCGAAUCCGGAUGGAAUAA